rnacentral:rRNA from 1 species
UACGUAGGGUGCAAGCGUUGUCCGGAAUUAUUGGGCGUAAAGAGCGUGUAGGCGGCCCGACCAGUCCGCUGUGAAAGUCCAGGGCUCAACCCUGGAAUGCCGGUGGAUACUGUCGGGCUAGAGUCCGGAAUGGGCGAGUGGAAUUCCUGGUGUAGCGGUGAAAUGCGCAGAUAUCAGGAGGAACACCGGUGGCGAAGGCGGCGACCUGGUCCAAGACUGACGCUGAGGCGCGAAAGCGUGGGGAGCAAACAGG